rnacentral:lncRNA from 1 species
UACACCCCUCUACAGCCCCCUUCCGGCUGCCAUGGCAACGCCCUGGAGAGCUAGGACCAGGCCUUCUAUUUCUUCCCUACACCCCACCUCCCCAACCUCUUUGCUUCUCCACCAGCGUGGAUCCCGCAGUAGGUGAUGUUUUGAAACACUGAUGGAUUGAGAGUUUGGGGUUUCAUUUGCCCCCAUCUGCAGAAUUGGAAUGACAGGAACAUGCCUUGCUCCCCAUUGCCAUCACCCAUCUUCCCCUAAAGGCCAGAGAUUUGUGAAGCCUAUAGAUUGACUAAAAGAUACUUCAAAUCUCCACUGAAUGCUGGAGCUCAAUCUACCUGAGAACUUGCAUGCUGCUUUCUUCAAUGAGGUGAAUGUGAGAGCACAAUAAAUUAUAUUCAAAUGGCAGUCAUGGAGGAAACUUUCCUUUCCUUCCUCAUCCACAAAGCUGAUCGAUGGGCGCUAAAGCCCCGGGGAAGCAGCAUCUGUUGUAACUCAAGGAUCCCCACUCGAGCUGAGGAUGAAAUGAACAGACGCGGAGCAGUUUGCAGCUCAACAUUUGUUCAAGUCUGGCACAUGCACACAUCAUUAGCAACUCUACUGGAGGAGCAAGAUCAAGGAGGUGCUCGGAAGGGAAUCCUGCAAGCCAGGAUGGGUUGACAAUCUGGAUUUCACACUGCCUGACUCAUACCCGAAGUGCUAUGACAUUUGGUUUCUGUCCUUGGCUGGACCAGAGACCCUCCCCAGGUUCCUUCUUCCUUAGCGAGAGAGCUUCUCCCCAGACCUGGUGUUUACAGUUUGGGAGAGGAUGGCCAUGGAGAAAGUGACAUCUUGAAGUAGGGGAAGGAAUGAGCUUUGAGGGCAUCCAGGGGAAAGGAAUUUCAGAAAUGUAGGAUGAGUUCAAAGAAUCUGAGGUAGAAGAGUACCUAGCCUGGUGGCAAAUGUGCCAAGAAGGGAGUAUAUAAAAUGCAGAGAAGAGACUAAGACAAAGGCCUAGUCUGCAGUUCGUGUAGGGUGAGAAGUGUGGAUCGCAGAGCGCCUUCCACCCUUUUUGAGAUUCCACAUCCAGACAUCUGCUCUAUUUGUUGACUCUAAGCUCAUGUCCCAGAUCUACUAAUUGGUCUGUCCCUGGGUCCCUAAGACCAAUUUUCCGCUCUGCACUCAGACUUGCUGUUGAUGUCCUGGCCUCAAACCCUGUCUUUGAAACCCGCCCUGUGACCUGGUCUUUCCCAGCUGCCACCAAGGAAUGGGGACCUGAGUUCUGGUCUGGGCUAGACAGUGCUGCCAGCUGAAAAUGUGUGGGGAGCACAGGCACCAUGAGGAAGAGAGACAAGAGCAAGGAAUCCAUCUUUCAAUCCCUGUACUCACUGGUCUUCAAAAAUGGCAUGACUUUUCCUCAGAGGUCUUUGAGCUUGUGAGUCUUCAUCUUCAAACAUACCUCCCCUAUUUUGUGUAUCUAACUUGUUCUCUUGUUCACUCAGAAAAUGAGUGGUCUUCAAAUGUCGUCCACCUGAGGUAAGGUGGCCACCUCCUCUGCCCCGCUAUCCACUUACCCAACUGAAUGUCUUCACAUAUAUGGAUGUGUUUAUUCUCUCUCUCUUCUUGAAAAUGAACUUGAGGAGAGUAAGGAUUUUAUCUAAAAUCCCACCAACAGCAGGUG